rnacentral:rRNA from 1 species
UGACGCUGAGGCACGAAAGUGUGGGGAUCAAACAGGAUUAGAUACCCUGGUAGUCCACACUGUAAACGAUGAUAACUAGCUGUUGGCGAUACACAGUCAGUGGCCAAGCGAAAGCGAUAAGUUAUCCACCUGGGGAGUACGACCGCAAGGUUGAAACUCAAAGGAAUUGACGGGGGCCCGCACAAGCGGAGGAACAUGUGGUUUAAUUCGAUGAUACGCGAGGAACCUUACCCGGGCUCGAACGGUGCAGGAAUAUGGCAGAGAUGUCAUAGCUAGCAAUAGUCUGUAUCGAGGUGCUGCAUGGUUGUCGUCAGCUCGUGCCGUGAGGUGUCGGCUUAAGUGCCAUAACGAGCGCAACCCUUGUCGUUAGUUACCAUCAAGUAAAGUUGGGGACUCUAGCGAGACUGCCACCGUAAGGUGUGAGGAAGGGGGGGAUGACGUCAAAUCAGCACGGCCCUUACGUCCGGGGCGACACACGUGUUACAAUGGUAGGUACAGAGGGCCGCUACCCAGCGAUGGGGUGCCAAUCUCGAAAACCUAUCUCAGUUCGGAUCGGAGUCUGCAACUCGACUCCGUGAAGUUGGAUUCGCUAGUAAUCGCGCAUCAGCCAUGGCGCGGUGAAUACGUUCCCGGGCCUUGUACACACCGCCCGUCAAGCCAUGGAAGCCGGGGGUGCCUGAAGUUCGUUACCGCAAGGAGCGACCUAGGGCAAAACUGGUAACUGGGGCUAAGUCGUAACAAGGUAGCCGUACCGGAAGGUGUGGCUGGAUCACCUCCUU